GUCCAUUGAAAUAGCUGUAUGUAUUACAUUAAUGUAAUGUGCAAUACCCGAAGGUGUGUGUGAACACUUACAUACUUCUUCAAAGAAACAUACUUAAAGUAUUUGAUAACCAGAACGUUCCAUCCAAAGUAUUAACUUUGAUGUCAGAACUUAGUAUAGGAUAAGAUAUAGGCUGACCAUGAACAUGUGGAGAUAUUUACCACUGUAUAUUGUUAGAUUGGUAAUGUAAAUAAUCUUGCAAUAUUUUUCAGCAUUAAAUUAUUUUAAAUCCCAAUUUGUUUGUCAAUUGAUUUUAUUCAAGCAGGUAAAGGCUUUAGUAUAUUAAACGUGCUAAAAACAAGUGUUGGUGUAAUUUUAUUCCUUGAAUUGCAGAUUUACACUACUUUGGUGUCCAAAUGGAAGUGAAACAUUUUUUUGGUGUUUUAUUGGUGUUUUCAUAUUGGUGUUUUUUAUUUGGUGUUUUUAUUUGUGUUUGUUUUUUUUGGGUUUUUUUCUUAAAAGAAACACUUGUUGGUGUAAUUCUACACUUCGGAAAGUCAAUUUACACCGGCCUUUAAGACCCAUUUCCAUCAAAGAAAAAUUUCCACGGACAGAAAAUUUUCCGAAAAUGUCAUUUUAAAAGUUGAAAAUUUUCAACUUCAGCAUUUUUUUCCGACGGAAAAUUUGUGUCGGCCAAUCACAUUUUACAAAAUUUUCUUUCCGCGGAAAAUUUUCCUGAGUGGAAAUUUAAAAAUUAAACGAGACUUACCUGGUAAGUUGAAGUUUGAUUGGAAUUCUACAAGUCAUCAGUCAGGAACGGAGGAAUUACAUGAGAGAGCGCGCGCGAGCUAUCUAGGCAAUAUUCAACGUAAUCGUGAGUGUGAACAGGAGCAUGGAACGGAGGAAUUGGGACGGGAGGGAAUCAGCUUGCCUGAUCCAGGGCAUGUAAUUCCUCCGUUCCUGACUGAUGACUUGUAGAAUUCCAAUCAAACUUCAACUUACCAGGUAAGUCUCGUUUAAUUUUUAAAUUCUACUACGUCAUCAGUCUACGUCACUACGGAAUUACACGAGAUUUCAAAGCGGUCCUGUUUACACACACACCAAUGAGUAGUAGAUGAGUCAAUGGUUUACGAAGUAACUAAACCAUGAUAGCAUCUACUAACAAACGAGCCGACAGUAUCACAUCUGCGCAAGGGCAGAUACAAAAAAGGGAAUCAUUUGAUUGUGAGGUUGGGCCGUUGGGCUAACCUCUUCUGUCUACAAUAAAUGCUAGUAGUAGUACUCUCCAAAUAAAUAAAGGUAAAGAUAAUUUCCUCAUGAUUCUUUUUAAAUUCCCUUAAAUUAAAUGCAUUGCCAUCAAGAAGCAAUGAACGAUUGUUGCCAUAAGAUUGCAAACCCGUACCCAGGCUGUUCCCUGGUACCGAUACGACUCACAAUUCCUAUACCAUAAGACGGAAUUUUUCAUUAUUAUUAAGCAUAC